rnacentral:rRNA from 1 species
GAUGAACGCUGGCGGCGUGCCUAAUACAUGCAAGUCGAGCGAACGGACGAGAAUCUUGCUUCUCUGAUGUUAGCGGCGGACGGGUGAGUAACACGUGGAUAACCUACCUAUAAGACUGGGAUAACUUCGGGAAACCGGAGCUAAUACCGGAUAAUAUUUUGAACCGCAUGGUUCAAAAGUGAAAGACGGUCUUGCUGUCACUUAUAGAUGGAUCCGCGCUGCAUUAGCUAGUUGGUAAGGUAACGGCUUACCAAGGCAACGAUGCAUAGCCGACCUGAGAGGGUGAUCAGCCACACUGGAACUGAGACACGGUCCAGACUCCUACGGGAGGCAGCAGUAGGGAAUCUUCCGCAAUGGGCGAAAGCCUGACGGAGCAACGCCGCGUGAGUGAUGAAGGUCUUCGGAUCGUAAAACUCUGUUAUUAGGGAAGAACAGAUGUGUAAGUAACUGUGCACAUCUUGACGGUACCUAAUCAGAAAGCCACGGCUAACUACGUG